rnacentral:rRNA from 1 species
AUCAUUGGGCGUAAAGCGCCUGUAGGUUGUUUAAUAAGUCUGUUGUUAAAGACUAGGGCUUAACCCUAGAAAAGCAAUGGAAACUACUAGACUAGAGUAUGGCAGGGGUAGAGGGAAUUUCUAGUGUAGCGGUGAAAUGCGUAGAUAUUAGAAAGAACACCGGUGGCGAAAGCGCUCUACUGGACCAUUACUGACACUCAGAGGCGAAAGCUAGGGUAGCAAAAGGGAUUAGAUACCCCUGUAGUCCUAGCCGUAAACGAUGGAUACUAGAUGUUGUGCUUCCUGUACAGUAUCGUAGCUAACGCGUUAAGUAUCCCGCCUGGGGAGUACGCUCGCAAGGGUGAAACUCAAAGGAAUUGACGGGGGCCCGCACAAGCGGUGGAGCAUGUGGUUUAAUUCGAUGCAACGCGAAGAACCUUACCAGGACUUGACAUACUACGAAUUCUUUUGAGAAAAAGAAGUGCCUUCGGGAAUGUAGAUACAGGUGGUGCAUGGCUGUCGUCAGCUCGUGUCGUGAGAUGUUGGGUUAAGUCCCGCAACGAGCGCAACCCUUAUUUUUAGUUACUAAUUCGUUAGGUUCUCUAGAAAGACUGCCGGUGACAAACCGGAGGAAGGUGAGGAUGACGUCAAGUCAGCAUGCCCCUUAUGUCCUGGGCUACACACGUGCUACAAUGGUUAAGACAAAGAGUCGCGAGCUCGCGAGAGUCAGCUAAUCUCAUAAACUUAGCCUAAGUUCAGAUUGUAGGCUGCAAC